rnacentral:rRNA from 1 species
UACGGAGGGAGCUAGCGUUAUUCGGAAUUACUGGGCGUAAAGCGCACGUAGGCGGAUCGUUAAGUCAGGGGUGAAAUCCUGGAGCUCAACUCCAGAACUGCCUUUGAUACUGAGGGUCUUGAGUUCGGGAGAGGUGAGUGGAACUGCGAGUGUAGAGGUGAAAUUCGUAGAUAUUCGCAAGAACACCAGUGGCGAAGGCGGCUCACUGGCCCGAUACUGACGCUGAGGUGCGAAAGCGUGGGGAGCAAACAGG